GAAAUGUUUGGCGGAUAACGUUUACAAACAUGGAUUUUCGAAUAUUUAAGACAUUUAGCGACGUUUUACUUAUCUCAAAUAUCUGUCAUGGAUAAAUAAAGUUAUUUAAAUCAAUGUGACAUCAAAAUUAUUUCGAUACCUGUAAAAUAUCGGCGUUCGUGUUCAUUUGAAAAUCGCUCGUGCAAGAAUCAAAUUUGCCUCAUAGUGGCCAAGGCAAGAUAAUGCACAGCUCGCUUUCCAAGUUUAGAGGCAGUUAUGAUCUAGAAUAUGUUUCAAUGCGUAAAAAUUGUGAUAAUAUCACUACACCUUGCUACAGCAUUUGGAUAUGGUUUUCAUCAGUACGUAUGGUUGUUAUUGUCAUAACAUGCAGGGGCGGAUAUAAGUUCAUAUCAUAAUGAAACAUGACCGGGCGCAAUACAGAGAAAACUGGAUUACUGCUAAUAAAGUUUUAAGAUGCAGUGAUGCAAUGCCUAAUGAUGAUGGCUGUAGUAAUCUGUUCAAUAAUGUUUUUUAUAAUGACCAUGAACAUUCACAACCUUUACAAAAAUCAAGUUGAACCAUUGCCAGUCCUAAACAAAGUUCUUUCUCUUCGAAAGUUGGUAUUAAUGAUUGUGAUAUUGGGGAAAAUGACCGUGCUGUUUCUGGUGAAGUUGAUAUUUUAGAUGUUUCUUUUUGCCUUGGAAAAGCUAAUUCUUUGGUCCAUGUGAAUGCAGACAUUGGGGAGAUGCAUUUUCUGUUUCUUCUGAUUUUGAAGAUGAUAGUUUAAAUGUUUCUUUUCAAGAUGGGUUAGUUGAUUAAGUGAAUGAGUACUCAUUGUUUAAAAGUUCUGCAAAAAAUGUAUCGCCAGUGUUGUGUGCCAUUUUGAAUAUCAAACUUGUUGUAGUGUUUCCUUUUGUCCUAACAUGUGGUGACUCCUAGCCAAAAGACUUGGAGUUUUUGGAUGAGUUUAUAGAAGAUUUGAAGGGUAUUCUAGAGAGGGGAGUCCAAGAUGGGGAAAAGAUUCUGACUGUUACAGUAAGGGGCAUUGUUUGUGAUGCUCCUGCAAGAGCACUUGCUAAAGGUACAAAAUCUUGUACUGAUUAUUUUGGUUAUGACAAGUGUACACAAAAAGGGAAGUGACUUGGUCUAGUGACUUACUCUCAAAAUAAUAAUAUAAAAUUGCGCACUAAUAUUUCUUUUAGAAAGCAGAUACAAGAAGAACAUCAUCGCUUUGUUAGCCCUUUCUGUCACUUGCCUGUUGAUAUGGCAUUUCUUUCAGCCGUCAAUGAAAUCUUAUCAACAAAUUCUAGAAAUUUGCUGGAGUACAGCGAGCUGAUCUCCCUUGCAGAAAAAGAUUUAUAUGACGAUGAACCAGCACCAGAAAUCCUAAACACAAAGGUUCAUGUACUAACUUCCCCAUCUACUAGUAGGACACCGUCUCAGUGUAGUGAUACAAGCAACGUCUCUUCACGAGGAAUUCCUACAACUGGCACAACAAGAGAAAGACAUUCUCAACGAAACAGUGAUGCGUAUGACCUUUCAUCGCACUAAACGCCUUCGACAAGUGUUAUGAACAUAACACCUGCAGGAAGACGUUCUCAACCAAACAUUAAUGAUAAGUCUUCACCAAACUGGAAUCAUUAAUUAAUAAGCAAGAAGAAGCGUUGUCAAUAUUGCGUGCUCUGUUAAGCGCUGCGAAAGGUGUAGACGAGCACGAAAUUUUGGAAGAUGUUCUACCUAAUCCUUUAGAUUUGGUUGAAGAACUUGAGGACCUAUCUUCUAGUCUUGAUGAAGAAAAGUCCAGAAGAAAGUUGCUGCAGUUUUUGUUAGCACUAUGCGCAUGCACCUGUGCAAACAGUGUUAGAAGAGUUAUGACAAAGCUGGGAACAAAUAAUCUAUGGUCCCAAUAUAGUUUAAAAGGCAGAAAGUCAAGCGACCAUUUCAACACCUUGUCCUCUGCAAAGUUAUAACAAAAGCCUGCCUCAAAGCUCAUAAAGGAUGCAGCGAGGCCAACGUUGAAGAGCAAAUUGCCGAAUUUUUAAAAUAUGCUCCAGGCAAGCAAGGUGGUUCCAGAUUUAAGGUAACAUGUCAUUAUCAUCAUAGAUUGCUGGGUCCGAAAAGGCAACUUAUUGGAAUCGGCUUAAUUAGCAUUUUUGUAAAUAUGUAUAUUAAAACACGCACAGCAAAAUAGAUGAAUUAAAAGUUGAUUAUACGGAAA